ACUUGCUCUUUGCUAUCCUCUGCUGUUCUCUUUUCAGUCAACUACACCAGAAACAGAAACAGUAACAGUACCAUUUGAUGAUGAUGACUAAUCUUGUAUAGAAAAUACUGAAUACUUAAGGGAAGCAAUUCACAUGCUACAAUUGUUCAUUUAUUGGCUGCUGAACAGACUCAAGGCUCCUGGACAACAGCUGACUUCUUUCCUCUUUUCUGGUCUGGACCUUGAGGGUCUAAGGCAUCCAGCUAUCCAGGUUCUUGUGAUGACACCAUCCUGAAAGAGUGAAACACUACAUCACAUGGAGCCCUGUCUAUAACAUCAAGCAGCUACAAAUCUUAAAUUGUGCUUGUAGAAGAACUGCUGCAGAAAAAUCUGUGAUUCCUUGGUGGUCUGAGACACUCCAAGUGCUGUUUGGUUCCUGUGAGAUCUAAGUAAGUGAUUUAUUUUUCUUUAUGUGUCUCAAGUUUAGAUUGAUUAUUAUAUGAUACUUAUACAAGUAUUUAGAUUUGAUUUGAUCUGCAGAGUCCAAUGUGAUUAGAAACCAUAAGCUAAAUUGUGCUAAAAAAUUUGUG
rnacentral:lncRNA from 1 species